rnacentral:rRNA from 1 species
GAUGAACGCUAGCGGCAGGCCUAACACAUGCAAGUCGAGGGGUAGCAGGAUUAAGCUUGCUUAAUUGCUGACGACCGGCGCACGGGUGCGUAACGCGUAUGCAACCUACCUUAUACUGGGGUAUAGCCCGGAGAAAUUCGGAUUAAUCCCCCAUAGUACUAAUGAAUCGCAUGGUUUAUUAGUUAAAGCAUUGCGGUAUAAGAUGGGCAUGCGUCCUAUUAGCUAGAUGGUGAGGUAACGGCUCACCAUGGCUACGAUAGGUAGGGGGCCUGAGGGGGGGGUCCCCCACACUGGUACUGAGGCACGGACCAGACUCCUACGGGAGGCAGCAGUGAGGAAUAUUGGUCAAUGGGCGCAAGCCUGAACCAGCCAUGCCGCGUGCAGGAAGAAUGCCCUAUGGGUUGUAAACUGCUUUUAUUUGGGAAUAAACCUCUUUACGUGUAGAGAGCUGAAGGUACCAAAUGAAUAAGCACCGGCUAACUCCGUGCCAGCCGCCGCCGUAA